rnacentral:rRNA from 1 species
UACGUAGGGGGCGAGCGUUGUCCGGAAUUAUUGGGCGUAAAGAGCGUGUAGGCGGUUCGGUAAGUCUGCCGUGAAACCUGGGGCUCAACCCUGGGCGUGCGGUGGAUACUGCCGGGCUAGAGGGUGGUAGAGGCGAGUGGAAUUCCCGGUGUAGCGGUGAAAUGCGCAGAUAUCGGGAGGAACACCAGUAGCGAAGGCGGCUCGCUGGGCCAUUCCUGACGCUGAGACGUGAAAGGCUACGGGAGGCGAACGAGG